AGAGUUUGAUCCUGGCUCAGAACGAACGCUGGCGGCAUGCUUAACACAUGCAAGUCGAACGAGACCUUCGGGUCUAGUGGCGCACGGGUGCGUAACGCGUGGGAAUCUGCCCUUUGCUACGGAAUAACUCAGAGAAAUUUGUGCUAAUACCGUAUAAUGUCGUAAGACCAAAGAUUUAUCGGCAAAGGAUGAGCCCGCGUAAGAUUAGCUUGUUGGUGGGGUAAAGGCUCACCAAGGCGACGAUCUUUAGCUGGUCUGAGAGGAUGAUCAGCCACACUG
rnacentral:rRNA from 1 species